UGCCUCUGCGAUGUGGGUCACCUAUCUGGCAGUGCCGUGUGUGUGUAUGUUUGAGCCUGCGUGACCGAAUUUGUGACUACCGGCAUGUCAGGAAUAAGUGCAGAGAGAGAGAGAAGGAAUGAGGAUGGUACAUAGAUGCAUAGAGAUAAAAAAAAAAAUAUGUAUGUGUACAGUGUUCUAACUCCAGAUAGAUAGCAGUAUCAAAAAAGUAAAAUAUGAAAAUAAGAUACUGUAGCUAGCUGUAUCUGACUGUGUGGAUCACUGGUACCCAUGUAAUAGCUCUAUCUAGCUGUGUGAGGUAUGGGAGCCAUAGACUGGGAGGUUGGAUCUUAAAACAGCCAGCCCCACUCUCAGUUUGUGUGUGUUGUGUGGGUGGACUAGCUCUGGUUGGCUUUGUGGAACAGCGAAGGCCUCUAGGGGAAAACACAAGCAUCUCAGAUGUGUAUGACACAGAGAGCAUAGAUAUGACUACGAGCUACACACACGCUCUGGGACACAGGGAUUAAGAGAUGUAGUAGUGGGUUAAAUGGAGGGGCAAUAAUUUCUCAAUUCUCUCCAAUCUGUUUUCUGUAAAGCUGUGUUUAUUAUGCACAUAAAGAGAGAGCAAGAGAGAGAGAGAGAGAGAGAGAGAGAGAGAGAGAGAGAGCUGUCUGGAUAUAACCUCAUCGUUGAGUGUUUUCCAUUCAUUACUUCCCAGCUGUGUGUGUGUGUGUGUGUGUGUGUGUGUGUGUGUGGCUGGCUGGCUGGCUGCAGCCUAUUAACUUGGCUCUGCUUCAUAAUGAGCUAGUAAUUAUCCUGGGACUUCAUCAAUUCUCUACAGACACACAGAGGAUACAUCCUAAAAGGCACCCUAUUCCCUAUAUAGUGCGCUACUUUUGACCAGAGCCUAUGGACUUUAGUGCGCUAUAUAGGGAAUGGGGUGCAAUUUAGGACAAAGCCGCAGAGCAGAGGGGCUGGAGAGCCUCCUCAGGUUGGCAUGGUGACCACAGCAGGCCAGGGGAUGGGUCGUGGAAGUGAGCACUGUAAAGCGCUACUGGAGGAGAAUGGGCAUCUCUCUCUCCCACACUACCGAGAAGAGAGCAGAGGCUUCAGCUCCCUGGAACUCUCCACUACUCCUAAGGUAUUGACUUUGUAUGUGUGUGUGCAGUGUCUGUUUGUGUGUGUGUGUGUGUGUGUGUGUGUGCUUGCCAGCUGCUGUGCUGCCUUUCAGCUCUUUCUGUGUGUUUUGUCUCUGCCUGCAGCUGAGGUGGGCGUGUGUAGGAGUUCACUGACCAUCUCGCCUACUCUCUAUCUUCCCCCAUCAUUCUUUCUCUCUCUCUCUUUUAUUCUCUAUCUAUCUCGUUCUCUCUCUCUCUGGAAUUGCAGGGAGGUCAUGGAUGGACUGCGAUUACCUCCACUCAUUGAGGAUGCGCUGGAAUCUACAGAUGAGCCCUGUGGAGAUCUGAAAGCGGAGAGCAGCCCCAGCCUGAGCCCCACCAUGGACAAUGAGAUCACAGCCAAGGAGAGAGGAGUACUGGAGAACAACGAAAAGGAGACAAUGGACAGAGAUCAGGAGGAGGAGGUAGAGAAGCUCUUAUGUUUGUUGGUGGCAUCUGUUGUAGUCUUUAUUCGUCUGGCAUAUUUAUGGGUCCUGAUUUUGUAUUCAGUUCUUUUGUUCUAUGUGUGUCUUUUUUUAUCUGCUGCUGUUUGACAUUACAUUUAGUUUCCAUGUGAUUGAUACCAUUCCAUUCACUCCAUUCCAGCCAUUAUUAUGAGCUGUCCUUCCCUCACCAGCCUCUUGUGAGAUGGCUGCCGUUUUACGGGCUCUUAAUCAAUUGUGCUAUUGUGUGUGUUUUUUUUCGUGUUAUUUGUAACUUAUUCUGUUCAUAAUGUUUCUGCCACCGUCUCUUAUGACCGAAAAGAGCUUCUGGAUAUCAGGACAGCGAUUACUCACUUCGUACUGGAUGAAGUUUUUUUCUUUAACGAGUCGGACGCAAAGGAUUUACUUCAGACACCCAACAGGGCCAACAUCCACGUCAUUCGCAGGAGAAAGAGAUGGAGAUAUCGGGGACAUAGGUCGGGUGCCUUGUAAGGAUCCGACGGCGAGUUGGUAAUCUGCCUCUAACAUCAGUCCUAUUAGCCAAUGUACAAUCAUUGGAUAACAAAAUAGACAAGCUACAUUCACAAAUACCCUACCAAUAGGAAAUUAAAAACAAAUGUAUUUUGUUUCACCGAGUCGUGGCUGAACGACGACAUGGAUAAAAGACAGCUGGCGGGGUUUGCGCUGCAUCGACAUGAUAGAACAGCUCAGACAAGGGGUGGUGGUCUGUGUAUAUUUAUGUAAACAACAGCUGGUGCACGAAAUCUAAUAUUAAGGAAAUCUCAAGGUUUUGCUUCACUGAGGUAGAAUAUUUCAUGAUAAGCUAUAGAUCACACUAUUUAACAAGAGAGUUCUCAUCUAUAUUUUUCAUAGCUGUCUAUUUACCACCAAAAAUAAUGCACUCAAUGAGCUGUAUAAGGCCAUAGGCAAACAGAAAAACGCUCAUCCAGAGGCGGUGCUCCUAGUGGCCAGGGACUAAUGAAGGGAAAACUUAAAUCCGUUUUACAUUUCUACCAUGUUAAAUGUGCAACCAGAGGAAAAACAACUUUAGACCACCUUUACUCCACACACAGAGACACGUACAAAGCUCUCCCUUGCACUCCGUUUGCCAAAUCCGACCAUAAUUCUAUCCUCCUGAUUCCUGCCUACAAGCAAAAACUAAAGUGACUCGGUCAAUAAAGAAGUAGUCAGAUGAUGCCGAUGCUAAGCUACAGGACUGUUUUGCUAGCACAGACUGGAAUAUAUGGUAUUGAGGAGUACACCACAUCAGUCACUUGCUUCAUCAAUAAGUGCAUCGAAAAUGUCCCCACAGAAGCCAUGGAUUUACAGGCAACAUCCGCACUGAGCUAAAGAUAGAGCUUCCACUUUCAAGGAGCGGGACUCUUAUAAGAAAUUCCGCUAUGGCCUCAGAUGAACCAUCAAACAGGCAAAGCGUCAAUACAGGACUAAGAUUGAAUCAUACUACACCUGCUCCGAUGCUCGUCAGAUGUGGCAGCGCUUGCAAACUAUUACAGACUACAAAGGGAAGCACAGUCGCGAGCUGCCCAGUGACACGAGCCUACCAGACGAGCUAAAUUACUUCUAUGCUCGCUUCGAGGCAAACAACACUGAACAAUGCAUGACAGCAUUAGCUCUCCGGACGACUGUGUGAUCAAAUCAAAUUUAUUUAUAUAGCCCUUCUUACAUCAGCUGAUAUCUCAAAGUGCUGUACAGAAACCCAGCCUAAAACCCCAAACAGCAAGCAAUGCAGGUGUAGAAGCACGGUGCAUCGGAAAAACUCCCUAGAAAGGCCAAAACCUAGGAAGAAACCUAGAGAGGAACCAGGCUAUGAGGGGUGGCCAGUCCGCUUCUGGCUGUGCCGGGUGGAGAUUAUAACAGAACAUGGCCAAGAUGUUCAAAUGUUCAUAAAUGACCAGCAUGGUCAAAUAAUAAUCACAGUAGUUGUCGAGGGUGCAGCAAGUCAGCACCUCAGGAGUAAAUGUCAGUUGGCUUCUCAUAGCCGAUCAUUAAGAGUAUCUCUACCACUCCUGCUGUCUCUAGAGAGUUGAAAACAGCAGGUCUGGGACAGGUAGCACGUCUGGUGUGCAGGUCAGGGUUCCAUAGCCGCAGGCAGAAAAGUUUAAAUCAUGUGAUCACGCUCUCCGUAGCCGAUGUAAGACUUUUAAACAGGUCAACAUUCACAAGGCCGCAGGGCCAGAUGGAUUAGCAGGACGUGUACUCCGAGCAUGCGCUGACCAACUGGCAAGUGUCUUCACUGACAUUUUCAACCUCUCCCUGUCUGAGUCUGUAAUACCAACAUGUUUCAAGCAGACCACCAUAGUCUCUGUGCGCAAGAACACUAAGGUAACCUGCCUAAAUGACUACCAACCCGUAGCGCUCAUGUCUGUAGCCAUGAAGUGCUUUGAAAGUUUGGUCAUGGCUCAUAAUCAACACCAUUAUCCCAGAAACCCUAGACCCACUCCAAUUUGCAUACCGCCCCAACAGAUCCACAGAUGAAGCAAUCUCUAUUGCACUCCACACUGCCCUUCCCCACCUGGACAAAAGGAACACCUACGUGAGAAUGCUAUUCAAUGACUACAGCUCAGCAUUCAACACCAUAGAGCCUUCAAAGCUCAUCACUAAGCUAAGAACCCUGGGAAUAAACACCUCCUUCUGAAACUGGAUCCUGUCCUGGUGGUAAGGGUAGGUAACAACACGUCCGCCAAGCUGAUCCUCAACACUGGGGCCCCUCAGAGGUGUGUGCUCAGUUCCCUCCUGUACUCCCUGUUCACCCAUGACUGCAUGGCCAGGCAUGACUCCAACACCAUCAUUAAGUUUGCCGACAACACAAUAGUGGUAGGCCUGAUCACCGACAACGAUGAGACAGCCUAUAGGGAGGUCAGAGACCUGGUCGUGUGGUGCCAGGACAACAACUUCUCCCUCAACGUGAUAAAGACGAAGGAUAUGAUUGUGGACUACAGGAAAAGGAGGACCGAGCACGCAUCCAUUCUCAUUGACGGGGCUGUAGUGGAGCAGGUUGAGAAUUUCAAGUUCCUUGGUGUCCACAUCACCAACAAACUGUCAUGUUCCAAACACACCAAGACAGUCGUGAAGCGGGCAUGACAAAGCCUAUUCCCCCUCAGGAGACAAAAAAUAUUUGGCAUGGGUUCUUAGAUCCUCAAAAUGUUCUACAGCUGCACCAUAGAGAGCAUCCGAACAGGUUGCAUCACUGUCUGGUAUGGCAACUGCUCGGCAUCCGACCGCAAGGCACUACAGAGGGAAGUGCGUAUGGUCCAGUACUUCACUGGGGCCAAGCUUCCUGCCAUCCAGGACCUCUAUACCAGGCGGUGUCUGAGGAAGGCCCUAAAAAUUGUCAAAGACCCCAGUCACCCUGGUCAUAGACUGUUCUCUCUGCUACCGCACAGCAAGCGGUACUGGAGAACAAAGUCUAGGUCCAAAAGGCUUCUUAACAGCUUCUACCCCCAAGCCAUAAGACUCCUGAACAGCCAAUCAAAUGGCUACCCAGAGUAUAUGCAUUGUCCCCCCUCACUCUUUUACGCUCCUGCUACUCUCUGGUUAUUAUCUAUGCAUAGUCACUUUAACUCUAUUACCUCAAUUUCCUCGACUAACUUGUGCCCACACACAUUGACUCUGUACCGGAACCCCCUUGUAUAUAGCCUCGCUACUGUUAUUUUACUGCUGCUCUAAUAACUAUUUGUUAUUUGUUAUUUUUACUUAUCUAUUUUUUACUUAACACUUGUUUUUCUUAAAACUGCAUUGUUGGCUAAGAGCUUGUAAGUAAGCAUUUCACUGUAAGCUCUGUAUAGCUGUUGUAUUCGACGCAUGUAGUGAAUAAAAAAUGUAUUUGAUUUGAUCUAUCAAUCUCUAUCUCGGAGGAGGAGAAGGGGAGGAGGGAGCAGCAGGAGCCCCUGUCUGAGGAGCAGGAGCUGGAGGAGUUGAGGAGCCAGGUGCUGCAGCUCCUUCUGG
rnacentral:lncRNA from 1 species